rnacentral:lncRNA from 1 species
GUCAUUCCAUUGCUCUUUAAUUAAUUAAACGAACCUAUUCCCAAAAUUAAAUACAAAAAUAGCCUUAAGAUUGAUUACAUCUAAAAAAAAAAGAAUAAAGAAAUAAAGCUCUUCAUCGCAUCUACACAUCUUCUUCUCAAAACUUGCAAUCUUCAUAGCUAACUUCAUCACAAAAAGGAUUAAUGCCCUCCCUCCUAAGUUUAAUUAAUUUAGAACCAACGGUCCAUAUAUUGGCACAACUAUUUUUCAAAUAAUGCACACAUAAAUGAUAAAUCACUCGGGGUCAUGAACCCACUUGGACAUUUGGAUAAAGUUGACUAAUGAACUUAAUACACCAAGGGUAUUAAGCCUUUUAGGUUUAUAUGAUGCAUGUACCGUAAAAGGUGUUGGUUUAGCUCUAUCCUAGGUUAAUUAAGAGUGGGUUUACUAGACACAAGGUUCCCGAGUGGACAACUCGAGUGAGAAGGCUACGCGGUCACACAGAAAAAGAUCCGGACAACCCGCGCAUAUGCCAACUCUCCUAAAUUUUGGAAUUUUAAAGGAAAUUUGCGGGUGCGCAAAACACACCUCGCGUGUACGUGUGAUAGUGACUCUCCUAAAUUUUAGGAUUUUGAAAGAAAUUUUUGGGUGCACAAAACACACCUCGCGUGUACGUG